AUUGAACGCUAGCGGGAUGCCUUACACAUGCAAGUCGAACGGCAGCGGGAAGUAGCUUGCUACUUUGCCGGCGAGUGGCGAACGGGUGAGUAAUGUAUCGGAACGUGCCCAGUAGCGGGGGAUAACUACGCGAAAGCGUGGCUAAUACCGCAUACGCCCUACGGGGAAAGGGGGGGACGUCUUCGGAGCCUCUCACUAUUGGAGCGGCCGAUAUCGGAUUAGCUAGUUGGUGGGGUAAAGGCCUACCAAGGCG
rnacentral:rRNA from 1 species